CAUUCAUCCAUGGGUGGGGAUUUGUUGCAUUACUUGUGUUUAUAUAUAAAGUAUUGCACUUGUCCCGGCCUGUGGAAGAAAAGA
rnacentral:pre_miRNA from 1 species